UCGAUGAAGAACGCAGCGAAAUGCGAUAAGUAAUGUGAAUUGCAGAAUUCAGUGAAUCAUCGAAUCUUUGAACGCACAUUGCGCCCGCUGGUAUUCCGGCGGGCAUGCCUGUUCGAGCGUCAUUAUAACCAAUCAAGCUCUGCUUGGCUUUGGGGCCCGCUGUACCGGCGGCCCUUAAAAUCAGUGGCAGUGCCGUCUGGCUCUAAGCGUAGUAAUACUUCUCGCUAUAGGGUUUAGUCGUCCACUCGUCAGAACCCCAAUUUUUAGGUUGACCUCGGAUCAGGUAGGGAUACCCGCUGAACUUAA
rnacentral:rRNA from 1 species